GCAGCCGCGGUAAUUCCAGCUCCAAUAGCGUAUAUUAAAGUUGUUGCAGUUAAAAAGCUCGUAGUUGAAUUUCGGGAUCAAUACGUCGGUCGUGCUUCGGUACGUACUGGCGUAAUUGAUUUUUCCCUUCUGACGAACCAUGAUGUCAUUAACUUGGUGUCAUGGGAAAUCAGGACUGUUACUUUGAAAAAAUUAGAGUGUUUAAAGCAAGCUAACGCUUGAAUACAUUAGCAUGGAAUAAUGAAAUAGGACGUUCGAUCCUAUUUUGUUGGUUUCUAGGAUUGACGUAAUGAUUAAUAGGGAUAGUUGGGGGCAUUAGUACUCAAUUGUCAGAGGUGAAAUUCUUGGAUUUAUUGAAGACUAACUACUGCGAAAGCAUUUGCCAAGGAUGUUUUCAUUAAUCAAGAACGAAAGUUAGGGGAUCGAAGACGAUCAGAUACCGUCGUAGUCUUAACCAUAAACUAUGCCGACUAGGGAUCGGAUGAUGUUAAUUUUUAA
rnacentral:rRNA from 1 species